rnacentral:rRNA from 1 species
AUGGAUCCGCUUGAUGAGGAGUCCUUCUUGGAGGAGCUCAUGCCGCUUCACCGGGAGGAGGCGCCGGCGCCGCCGUACCCGGGCAGCAACAGCAUGAUGACGAUCAGCGACCUCCUCUUCUACGGCGGCGGCAAGGGCUGCACUGCCGAGGAGAGGAGUGGCCCAUUUCAGCAGCCCAUGCUGCCCUCGCCGCCGGCCGUGCGUCCGCACCCGCACCAGGAGUUCAACUUCAACUACCUGAGCGAAAUGUGCAACCCCUGGAGGAGCUGCAUCCCUGACCCUCCCGCGGUCGUCCAGGCUGCUGCCGGCAAGGCGCCGCUCACUCUUCCCCUCCAUGACGCUAUUGCGAGCUCGUCAACGUUCGUGUUCGGGGGAGGGGCCGGGGAGAGCUCGGGGAUGAGAAGCAUGCCGGCCUCCGGCACCCACCCGGAGAGCAAGCUCAAUGCCGGAAGCGGAACUCCGUCAAAGAACCUCAUGGCGGAAAGGCGGCGCCGGAAGCGGCUCAACGACCGCCUCUCCAUGCUCCGGUCCGCCGUGCCCAAGAUUAGCAAGAUGGGCACCACGCCCGAGGAGCUGAACCUGCUCAAAAAUUUCUCCAGCGGUGGCAACGAGGGGACGCCGACGAGGAGUUCCACCAAGUUAUGUGCUAACGUCGAGAACCAAGGCGGGGGCGACACGAAGAUUGAGAUCUGCUGCUCGACAAACCCCGGAGCGCUGAUUGCGACGGUGACCGCGCUGGACGUGCUGGGGCUGGAGAUCGAGCAGUGUGUCGUGAGUUGCUUCAGUGACUUCGCCAUGCAGGCCUCGUGCUCACAAGCGGAAGGGAAGAGGCAGGUGAUAAGCACAGACGAGAUCAAGCAGGCAUUGUUGAGGAGCGCAGGCUACGGGGCAAGGUGUCUCUAA